CUGUAAGACUGGGAUAACUCCGGGAAACCGGAGCUAAUACCGGAUAGUUCCUUGAACCGCAUGGUUCAAGGAUGAAAGACGGUUUCGGCUGUCACUUACAGAUGGACCCGCGGCGCAUUAGCUAGUUGGUGAGGUAACGGCUCACCAAGGCGACGAUGCGUAGCCGACCUGAGAGGGUGAUCGGCCACACUGGGACUGAGACACGGCCCAGACUCCUACGGGAGGCAGCAGUAGGGAAUCUUCCGCAAUGGACGAAAGUCUGACGGAGCAACGCCGCGUGAGUGAUGAAGGUUUUCGGAUCGUAAAGCUCUGUUGUUAGGGAAGAACAAGUGCAAGAGUAACUGCUUGCACCUUGACGGUACCUAACCAGAAAGCCACGGCUAACUACGUGCCAGCAGCCGCGGUAAUACGUAGGUGGCAAGCGUUGUCCGGAAUUAUUGGGCGUAAAGGGCUCGCAGGCGGUUUCUUAAGUCUGAUGUGAAAGCCCCCGGCUCAACCGGGGAGGGUCAUUGGAAACUGGGAAACUUGAGUGCAGAAGAGGAGAGUGGAAUUCCACGUGUAGCGGUGAAAUGCGUAGAGAUGUGGAGGAACACCAGUGGCGAAGGCGACUCUCUGGUCUGUAACUGACGCUGAGGAGCGAAAGCGUGGGGAGCGAACAGGAUUAGAUACCCUGGUAGUCCACGCCGUAAACGAUGAGUGCUAAGUGUUAGGGGGUUUCCGCCCCUUAGUGCUGCAGCUAACGCAUUAAGCACUCCGCCUGGGGAGUACGGUCGCAAGACUGAAACUCAAAGGAAUUGACGGGGGCCCGCACAAGCGGUGGAGCAUGUGGUUUAAUUCGAAGCAACGCGAAGAACCUUACCAGGUCUUGACAUCCUCUGACAACCCUAGAGAUAGGGCUUUCCCUUCGGGGACAGAGUGACAGGUGGUGCAUGGUUGUCGUCAGCUCGUGUCGUGAGAUGUUGGGUUAAGUCCCGCAACGAGCGCAACCCUUGAUCUUAGUUGCCAGCAUUCAGUUGGGCACUCUAAGGUGACCUGCCGGUGACAAACCGGAGGAAGGUGGGGAUGACGUCAAAUCAUCAUGCCCCUUAUGACCUGGGCUACACACGUGCUACAAUGGACAGAACAAAGGGCUGCGAGACCGCAAGGUUUAGCCAAUCCCACAAAUCUGUUCUCAGUUCGGAUCGCAGUCUGCAACUCGACUGCGUGAAGCUGGAAUCGCUAGUAAUCGCGGAUCAGCAUGCCACGGUGAAUACGUUCCCGGGCCUUGUACACACCUCCCGUCAAAACGCGAGAGUUUGCA
rnacentral:rRNA from 2 species